CAAACGGCCCUUUUCAGGGCCACCAUACCAGCACGAAAGAUAUUG
rfam:Strongylocentrotus purpuratus Contig3261_fixed, whole genome shotgun sequence.